UGGGGAAUUUUGGACAAUGGGGGCAACCCUGAUCCAGCAAUGCCGCGUGAGUGAAGAAGGCCUUCGGGUUGUAAAGCUCUUUCGGCCGGGACAAAAUCGCACCGUCUAACAAGUGGUGUGGAUGACGGUACCGGAAGAAGAAGCACCGGCUAACUACGUGCCAGCAGCCGCGGUAAUACGUAGGGUGCGAGCGUUAAUCGGAAUUACUGGGCGUAAAGCGUGCGCAGGCGGUUUUGUAAGCCAGAUGUGAAAUCCCCGGGCUUAACCUGGGAACUGCAUUUGGGACUGCAAGGCUGGAGUACGGCAGAGGGAGGUGGAAUUCCACGUGUAGCAGUGAAAUGCGUAGAGAUGUGGAGGAACACCGAUGGCGAAGGCAGCCUCCUGGGCUAGUACUGACGCUCAUGCACGAAAGCGUGGGGAGCAAA
rnacentral:rRNA from 1 species